UUUUUCGAUCAGACAAAUAUUCCUUUUGCUAUCACAGGCACCAUUUUCUAAGACUUGUAAAAAGGAAAACGCGAUAAAGCACGUUUCAAUGUUCUGACCGAGCAAUCGAACCUGCUCGACGCUGGGCCAAUAAAACGUCCAAAACGUGUCGAAUUGGCCAGUGAAACCUCUAACAGACUUCCUAGCCUCAAUGCCAAAACGAAUGUACCAGCGACGAAACUGGUGGCAAAUGUACAGAUUUAGGACCGCUGCACAGGUUAUAAGCCCCAGGUGAGCUGAGUAUCAGUACUUCAGGGCACAGUGGUGUGGCACGAUUUUUAAGAAUACGAAAGGACUUCAGCGCUUUGCUUUCGGUAUGCUCUUGGAAGCUGCAAUAGACGCUGACGGUUGCGCAAAAGUCUCAAAUUCGCAGAUAAAGCUUUGGAUAUUUUCACAGUUUACUACGCCCGCUUGGAGACAGAUCCUCUCAGAGCCACAACGGACAUCCUCAGAAAAUUGCAGCAAGACUGGUGCACCCGUUCUCUAGCCUUGGUGUCACUAACAAACAACAUGAAAAUGUGAAUAGCAUCAGGACCAUAAUACCGUUACAGUCAGUCAUGCACAAUUUCAGCUUCAUUGCGGCAAUUUUAAUGUAAAAGAUGCCUAACGGAGUGGAAGGCCAAUUG